rnacentral:rRNA from 1 species
GAUGAACGCUGGCGGCGUGCCUAAUACAUGCAAGUCGAGCGAAUGGAUUAAGAGCUUGCUCUUAUGAAGUUAGCGGCGGACGGGUGAGUAACACGUGGGUAACCUGCCCAUAAGACUGGGAUAACUCCGGGAAACCGGGGCUAAUACCGGAUAACAUUUUGAACCGCAUGGUUCGAAAUUGAAAGGCGGCUUCGGCUGUCACUUAUGGAUGGACCCGCGUCGCAUUAGCUAGUUGGUGAGGUAACGGCUCACCAAGGCAACGAUGCGUAGCCGACCUGGAAGGGGGAACGGCCACACUGGGACUGAGACACGGCCCAGACUCCUACGGGAGGCAGCAGUAGGGAAUCUUCCGCAAUGGACGAAAGUCUGACGGAGCAACGCCGCGUGAGUGAUGAAGGCUUUCGGGUCGUAAAACUCUGUUGUUAGGGAAGAACAAGUGCUAGUUGAAUAAGCUGGCACCUUGACGGUACCUAACCAGAAAGCCACGGCUAACUACGUGCCAGCCGCCGCAGUAA